rnacentral:rRNA from 1 species
CGCUUAGCGUCGGACCCAUACCGGGCCGUCUCGGCAGUCUCUGAUCCAAGCCGAGACGAGUAGGAGGGCCGUCGGGGUGAGCGUGGAAGCCUGGGGAGCGAUCCUGGGUGGAGCCGCCCCGGGUGCAGAUCUUGGUGGUAGUAGCAAAUAUUCA